UUAAAUACAGUGAUUGGAUCCAUGGACCGGUCGCUCUUCAUGGAUAAACAGCUGGAUGAGGGCACAGCUGCUGUCUGCUGCUGGAUCCUGAAACACGUUCAUGUCCAGAGACAGACUGAAUGAAGUGGACACUCACACUUUAUGUUGAAACCUGCUACAAACAGACGGACAGCGGUACAACCGUACAUCUUUGACCCUGAGUCAGAACCAGAACCAGAAAAAGUGGAACCUCCUGCACGACUAUCAAGCAUGCAGCAGUGGUUUCUGAAUGGCUGGUCUCCAGUUUUGAAGCCAGUUAUUGGAUCCAUGGACCGGUCAGUCUUUAGCGACACGCAGCUGGCAG